rnacentral:lncRNA from 1 species
GGCCGCCGCUGGUUUUUCUGUGACAGGCAGGCCACCUCUUCACUCGUUUCACGCGUUCGACGUCUAACCUUGUCGCAAGAAUGAUUGUUUCGCUUCUGAAAAUCCCUCGCAUUCAGAGCGAGUGUGGCAGCUUGUUAACUCGAGUUGGAAACUGGUCUCAAUCUUUAAGACAAACGACGAAACUGUGCCGUAGUCGCACCACAUUCGGAUUGCUGUGGAGUUAACAGAUAGUUAAAUUGCUCACUCGGAACAAAGAACUUUGCUUAGGUCUCCAAUAUCGCUGUCGGAUCAAAGCUAUCUUGUUGUAAUUGGUUUCAAGAACGUUCAGUGUAGACGCGGGUCUAUUCCGCGCACACGCUAUGUCCUAUUUUAGGCUUCCCACUAUUUCCACUGUGAGGCAGGGAGCGAGGAAUCACGUGAAACCCUAGACGUUUGGGAGACGGUAAAAGUCGACGUGUGUUUAACUGCGUUUAUCGAGAUGGACCUUUUGCAUGGUGCCUUGCGUUAUUAUCGACAAUGGAAAUCGGGACUCUGUCCGCUCUUCAAAAUUUUAGGUUCUACUCUUCGG